GAACGGGUGAGUAACACGUGAGUAACCUGCCCUUGACUCUGGGAUAAGCGUUGGAAACGACGUCUAAUACCGGAUACGAACCGCGAAGGCAUCUUCAGUGGUUGGAAAGAAUUUUGGUCAAGGAUGGACUCGCGGCCUAUCAGGUAGUUGGUGAGGUAAUGGCUCACCAAGCCUACGACGGGUAGCCGGCCUGAGAGGGUGACCGGCCACACUGGGACUGAGACACGGCCCAGACUCCUACGGGAGGCAGCAGUGGGGAAUAUUGCACAAUGGGCGAAAGCCUGAUGCAGCAACGCCGCGUGAGGGACGACGGCCUUCGGGUUGUAAACCUCUUUUAGCAGGGAAGAAGCGAAAGUGACGGUACCUGCAGAAAAAGCACCGGCUAACUACGUGCCAGCAGCCGCGGUAAUACGUAGGGUGCAAGCGUUGUCCGGAAUUAUUGGGCGUAAAGAGCUCGUAGGCGGUUUGUCGCGUCUGCUGUGAAAACUGGAGGCUCAACCUCCAGCCUGCAGUGGGUACGGGCAGACUAGAGUGCGGUAGGGGAGAUUGGAAUUCCUGGUGUAGCGGUGGAAUGCGCAGAUAUCAGGAGGAACACCGAUGGCGAAGGCAGAUCUCUGGGCCGUAACUGACGCUGAGGAGCGAAAGGGUGGGGAGCAAACAGGCUUAGAUACCCUGGUAGUCCACCCCGUAAACGUUGGGAACUAGAUGUGGGGACCAUUCCACGGUCUCCGUGUCGCAGCUAACGCAUUAAGUUCCCCGCCUGGGGAGUACGGCCGCAAGGCUAAAACUCAAAGGAAUUGACGGGGGCCCGCACAAGCGGCGGAGCAUGCGGAUUAAUUCGAUGCAACGCGAAGAACCUUACCAAGGCUUGACAUAUACGAGAACGCACGAGAGAUCGUGCACUCUUUGGACACUCGUAUACAGGUGGUGCAUGGUUGUCGUCAGCUCGUGUCGUGAGAUGUUGGGUUAAGUCCCGCAACGAGCGCAACCCUCGUUCUAUGUUGCCAGCACGUAAUGGUGGGAACUCAUGGGAUACUGCCGGGGUCAACUCGGAGGAAGGUGGGGACGACGUCAAAUCAUCAUGCCCCUUAUGUCUUGGGCUUCACGCAUGCUACAAUGGCCAGUACAAAGGGCUGCAAUACCGUAAGGUGGAGCGAAUCCCAAAAAGCUGGUCCCAGUUCGGAUUGAGGUCUGCAACUCGACCUCAUGAAGUCGGAGUCGCUAGUAAUCGCAGAUCAGCAACGCUGCGGUGAAUACGUUCCCGGGCCUUGUACACACCGCCCGUCAAGUCAUGAAA
rnacentral:rRNA from 1 species